rnacentral:rRNA from 1 species
GACGAACGCUGGCGGUGUGCUUAACACAUGCAAGUCGAACGGUAAGGCCCUUUCGGGGGUACACGAGUGGCGAACGGGUGAGUAACACGUGAGUAACCUGCCCUCAUCUCUGGGAUAACAGCCGGAAACGGUUGCUAAUACUGGAUAUGAGCUUGCAAGGCAUCUUGUGGGUUGGAAAGAUUUUUUUUGGUUGGGGAUGGACUCGCGGCCUAUCAGCUUGUUGGUGAGGUAGUGGCUCACCAAGGCUUCGACGGGUAGCCGGCCUGAGAGGGCGACCGGCCACAUUGGGACUGAGAUACGGCCCAAACUCCUACGGGAGGCAGCAGUGGGGAAUAUUGCACAAUGGACGGGAGUCUGAUGCAGCAACGCCGCGUGCGGGAUGACGGCCUUCGGGUUGUAAACCGCUUUCAAUUGUGACGAAGCUUUUUUGUGACGGUAGCAGUAGAAGAAGCACCGGCUAACUACGUG